UCUUAGCUUGCUAAGGCCGAUGGCGACCGGCGCACGGGUGAGUAACACGUAUCCCCCCUUCCGUCUACUCUUGGACAGCCUUCUGAAAGGAAGAUUAAUACAAGAUGGCAUCAUGAGUCCGCAUGUUCACAUGAUUAAAGGUAUUCCGGUAGACGAUGGGGAUGCGUUCCAUUAGAUAGUAGGCGGGGUAACGGCCCACCUAGUCUUCGAUGGAUAGGGGUUCUGAGAGGAAGGUCCCCCACAUUGGAACUGAGACACGGUCCAAACUCCUACGGGAGGCAGCAGUGAGGAAUAUUGGUCAAUGGGCGAGAGCCUGAACCAGCCAAGUAGCGUGAAGGAUGACUGCCCUAUGGGUUGUAAACUUCUUUUAUAAAGGAAUAAAGUCGGGUAUGGAUACCCGUUUGCAUGUACUUUAUGAAUAAGGAUCGGCUAACUCCGUGCCAGCAGCCGCGGUAAUACGGAGGAUCCGAGCGUUAUCCGGAUUUAUUGGGUUUAAAGGGAGCGUAGAUGGAUGUUUAAGUCAGUUGUGAAAGUUUGCGGCUCAACCGUAAAAUUGCAGUUGAUACUGGAUAUCUUGAGUGCAGUUGAGGCAGGCGGAAUUCGUGGUGUAGCGGUGAAAUGCUUAGAUAUCACGAAGAACUCCGAUUG
rnacentral:rRNA from 1 species